rnacentral:tRNA from 1 species
GCUGGAUGUGGCUCAGUGGUAGAGUGCUUGCCUAGCAUUGUGUGAGAACCUGGGUUCACUCCCCAGCACUGUGCA